UACGGGGGGGGCAAGCGUUGUUCGGAAUUACUGGGCGUAAAGGGCUCGUAGGUGGCCAACUAAGUCAGACGUGAAAAUCCCUCGGCUUAACCGGGGAACUGCGUCUGAUACUGGAUGGCUUGAGAUUGGGAGAGGGAUGCGGAAUUCCAGGUGUAGCGGUGAAAUGCGUAGAUAUCUGGAGGAACACCGGUGGCGAAGGCGGCAUCCUGGACCAACACUGACACUGAGGAGCGAAAGCCAGGGGAGCAAACGGG
rnacentral:rRNA from 1 species